rnacentral:rRNA from 1 species
GAUGAACGCUCGCUACAGGCUUAACACAUGCAAGUCGAGGGGAAACGCCAUUGAAGCUUGCUUCGAUGGUCGUCGACCGGCGCACGGGUGAGUAACGCGUAUCCAACCUGCCUCUGACCAAGGGAUAACCCGUCGAAAGUCGGCCUAAUACCUUAUGCAGUCGUCGGAAGUCAUCUGAUGACGACGAAAGAUUUCAUCGGUGAGAGAUGGGGAUGCGUCUGAUUAGCUUGUUGGCGGGGUAACGGCCCACCAAGGCAAUGAUCAGUAGGGGUUCUGAGAGGAAGGUCCCCCACAUUGGAACUGAGACACGGUCCAAACUCCUACGGGAGGCAGCAGUGAGGAAUAGUGGUCAAUGGGCGAGAGCCUGAACCAGCCAAGUAGCGUGCAGGAUGACGGCCCUAUGGGUUGUAAACUGCUUUUAUGCGGGGAUAAAGUGAGGGACGUGUCCUUCAUUGCAGGUACCGCAUGAAUAAGAACCGGCUAAUUCCGUG